UACAGAGGUCUCAAGCGUUGUUCGGAUUCAUUGGGCGUAAAGGGUGCGUAGGUGGCGCUGUAAGUCAGGUGUGAAAUUUCGGAGCUUAACUCCGAAACUGCAUUUGAUACUGCGGUGCUUGAGGACUGGAGAGGAGACUGGAAUUUACGGUGUAGCAGUGAAAUGCGUAGAGAUCGUAAGGAAGACCAGUGGCGAAAGCACUCUGCUGGGCCGACACUGACACUGAGAGACGAAAGCUAGGGGAGCGAAUGGG
rnacentral:rRNA from 1 species